rnacentral:rRNA from 1 species
AGAGUUUGAUCCUGGCUCAGGAUGAACGCUGGCGGCGUGCUUAACACAUGCAAGUCGAACGAAGCACCUGAGAACGAUUCUUCGGAUGAAGUCUCUUGUGACUGAGUGGCGGACGGGUGAGUAACGCGUGGGUAACCUGCCUCACACAGGGGGAUAACAGUUGGAAACGACCGCUAAUACCGCAUAACCCGCUGGUGCCGCAUGGCACUGACGGAAAAGAUUUAUCGGUGUGAGAUGGACCCGCGUCUGAUUAGCCAGUUGGCAGGGUAACGGCCUACCAAAGCGACGAUCAGUAGCCGGCCUGAGAGGGUGAACGGCCACAUUGGGACUGAGACACGGCCCAGACUCCUGCGGGAGGCAGCAGUGGGGAAUAUUGCACAAUGGGGGAAACCCUGAUGCAGCGACGCCGCGUGAGUGAAGAAGUAUUUCGGUAUGUAAAGCUCUAUCAGCAGGGAAGAAAAUGACGGUACCUGAUUAAGAAGCCCCGGCUAACUACGUGCCAGCAGCCGCGGUAAUACGUAGGGGGCAAGCGUUAUCCGGAUUUACUGGGUGUAAAGGGAGCGUAGACGGUGAUGCAAGUCAGAAGUGAAAGCCCGGGGCUCAACUCCGGGACUGCUUUUGAAACUGUGUGACUGGAGUGCAGGAGAGGUAAGCGGAAUUCCUGGUGUAGCGGUGAAAUGCGUAGAUAUCAGGAGGAACACCAGUGGCGAAGGCGGCUUACUGGACUGUAACUGACGUUGAGGCUCGAAAGCGUGGGGAGCAAACAAAGAAUAGAUACCCUGGUAGUCCACGCCGUAAACG